rnacentral:rRNA from 1 species
UGGGGAAUAUUGCACAAUGGGCGCAAGCCUGAUGCAGCCAUGCCGCGUGUAUGAAGAAGGCCUUCGGGUUGUAAAGUACUUUCAGCGGGGAGGAAGGGAGUAAAGUUAAUACCUUUGCUCAUUGACGUUACCCGCAGAAGAAGCACCGGCUAACUCCGUGCCAGCAGCCGCGGUAAUACGGAGGGUGCAAGCGUUAAUCGGAAUUACUGGGCGUAAAGCGCACGCAGGCGGUUUGUUAAGUCAGAUGUGAAAUCCCCGGGCUCAACCUGGGAACUGCAUCUGUUGCUGGCAAGCUUGAGUCUCGUAGAGGGGGGUAGAAUUCCAGGUGUAGCGGUGAAAUGCGUAGAGAUCUGGAGGAAUACCGGUGGCGAAGGCGGCCCCCUGGACGAAGACUGACGCUCAGGUGCGAAAGCGUGGGGAGCAAACAGG